rnacentral:rRNA from 1 species
GACGAACGCUGGCGGCGUGCCUAAUACAUGCAAGUAGGACGCAGUUGCGAACGGGUGAGUAACGCGUAGGUCACUGCCUAUUAGAGGGGGAUAACUAUUGGAAACGAUAGCUAAUACCGCAUACUAGUAGAUGGACCUGCGUUGUAUUAGCUAGUAGGUAGGGUAAUGGCCUACCUAGGCAACGAGACAUAGCCUCGCUGGGAGGGUGGUCCGGCCAGCUGGGGCUGGAGAACGGCCCAGACUCCGCCGGUAGGCAGCAGUAGGGAAUCGUCGGCGAUGGGGGGCACCCCGACCGAGCAACGCCGCAUGGGAGAAGGAGGUUUUCGGAUCGUAAAACUCUGUUGUUAAGGGAGCGGUACUUAACCAGAAAGGGACGGCUAACUACGUGCCAGCAGCCGCGGUAAUUC